AGCUUAUCUCAGUAGUGUUGUUUUUUGGUAAUAUAAUGUUUCAUAAAUCUUGGAAAGGUUAACAUGAAAUCCAUUGUUGUUCCAUUAAAUAAAAGCAGCCAGAAAGCACCUUAUUUUAAAUGCUUUUCAGGUAGUGGAAAAAUAGUAUCAGUUUAGUGUUGGUAUUGCUGUUUUUUCACUCUCAAUAAGAUUUUUGUUGAUCUGAAACCAUUUUGCCUCUUUCAUACUUUUUCAGCAAGCUUUAAUAUGAGUAUUUUCAAAUAAAAUAUAUAAGUGGAGACAUACUAAAUUAGUGCUAUUGCUUUCUAGGUGUUCACAAAAAGAAAAAAGUCAAAUGGGACUUAGAAUAAAGUUGUAUUGUGUUUUUAAGACUUAUAAUAUUCACUUAUAAAAACAAUCGUAUUUUCAGACAAAUAGAAAAAUGUUCCCCUGGUGAAAUAAAGUUUGCUAAUGUAUGAUAUAUGUUAAUAGUUAAAUAAAAUGAGAAAUAAGGACAAGAGUAGACAAAUACUAAAACAAAACUUCAUUGUACAAAUAGUCUCAGAAAUAACCUUGGAAAACAUACCUCCCUGAUUGUAAAUAUUACAGCUGAGUUUACACAAAGAUGUUGCCUGUGAAAGUCAGUGGGAGUCAUGCAUUCAUGCAUUUCUGCUUAUAACAAGGGUUCUUAAUGAUUGCUAAAGCCUCACAUGAGGGUCUGUGUGAUUUCUUGUCUUAAUUAUUUUAACCAGGAGUUCCUGUUUCCACGUCCAACUUUUCUACCGAUUUAAUUUUUUUAAACACCAAUUUCUAAAAAUGAAGGGAUGAUCAAUAUUUCAGUUGUAAAUUAUCAGGUACCAUAUUUGCUUUUGCAAAGCUGAUUUGCAAUUAUUGCUUGAGCAUUUACAUAUUAGUAUAACACCAGAUAACCUCUUGUCAUGUUUUGGUAAUGCCUAUGUAGACAUUUUAUCUGGGAGAGAGCUAUGUGUGUCAGGGAUCAACCCACUGGUAAAUUGUGCUGAUUUGAAACCAUCUGGUUUUCAACUAAUGGUUUAUCUAAAUGACUUUUGGGGGCUGUUAAAGAACAAAAUAAUUUGAAAUCGUUAAUAAAAAUAAUCCAUGUUACUUUGCACAAAUGGAGAAAGUAUGUUAUAAAGAAUAAACUCAAGCAGUUUUAGCACAUCAGAUUUGAUGAAGGAAAUCUGCUUUUGCUGCCUGAGUAACUUGCUUUCCUUAGCCCAUUUAUCUGCAGACGCUGCUGAAGAACCUCUGCCUGCAAGAUCAGCCCCUUUUAUGCCUUGAGACAAUGUGAAUCAAGCUGGCAUUUUUUCCCAAGGAGUUGUUAAGAAAUGAAAUGUAAAUGGCAGAAUUUAUCUGAAGAUCCACAAGCCAGAAACGGAACCACCGUUCUUUUGAGGGAUGCCACCUCAGUGGCGUCACUGGCAAGUCCAGAGUGUUGACAUACAGGCUGCCUCUCUCACACAGAAAUACAACUCUGAAGUUGUCACUGGGUGGCAUCUACCAAAGAAAAACUACUCCUUCAGCCUGGAUUCUGGAAUAAAGAAGUUCUGGACUUUUUUCUCUUCCUUUGUAAAGCAGGAAGAAAAAUAUCCACUUCAGAAAGUUGUUAUAACAAUUAAAAGAGGUGACGUUUAUAAAAUAUUAAGCUUACAGUGCACACUGAGAAAAUUCAAUCCAUUUACUCAAUUU